rnacentral:rRNA from 1 species
CCUACGGGAGGCAGCAGUAGGGAAUAUUGCUCAAUGGGGGAAACCCUGAAGCAGCAACGCCGCGUGGAGGAUGAAGGUUUUCGGAUUGUAAACUCCUUUUGUUAGAGAAGAUAAUGACGGUAUCUAACGAAUAAGCACCGGCUAACUCCGUGCCAGCAGCCGCGGUAAUACGGAGGGUGCAAGCGUUACUCGGAAUCACUGGGCGUAAAGAGCGCGUAGGCGGGAUAGCAAGUCAGAUGUGAAAUCCUAUGGCUUAACCACAGAACUGCAUUUGAAACUGUUAUUCUAGAGUGUGGGAGGGGUAGGUGGAAUUCUUGGUGUAGGGGUAAAAUCCGUAGAGAUCAAGAGGAAUACUCAUUGCGAAGGCGACCUGCUAGAACAUAACUGACGCUGAUGCGCGAAAGCGUGGGGAGCAAACAGGAUUAGAUACCCCUGUAGUC